GUCUGUUGUUGUCUCGGCGGUGCAAUCGGCAGCACUCGUCUCUUUGGGAUAUACUUGCUCCAAGGCCGUGACCUUGUAAUGCAAGCGCCUGUGCUGUGGAGUGCCCGCGUGAACGAAUAGCACCUGCACUGUCGGGUACUGGGCACUGCCGACCAAGACACUCUACUUCGGAUGCGCUAGAAUGUCCCGUAAAAGUUUAAACUUCAGAGUGUCGUUUCAGCGCGCAGCUACGCUGCACGUUGGUGCCUCAGUAUUUCUCGCAGAUGGAGACGCUGUUGCUUCAAAUUCUGAGGUUGCUAUGUUUCUUUUCCCUCGGGUGGCGUUGCAUGCAGUGUAUGUUUUCUGCUGCAGUUCCUUAAAUACAAAGUUGUUUCUGCACUUUAUCCGAGCGUUCGCAUCUGCAACGAAGCCAAGGGCCUUUUGAUUCUUAGAUCGAGCGUAUAAAGGCCUGCGACAACCCUUCAACUCUGUCGCUGUCACCACGUUCCAUGUAUUUCGCUCGCUCACCGUGAGAGCUGUCCCAAGUUUGUCGAGGGCUUCCUUCGGGUCGUCGUUUUGAAUAUGCUUGAACACUUCCUGCCCACUGAUGUAUCGAAAUGCUUGAGCAAUGAUGGCAUUGCAUAUUUGCUUCAUCAGCACAACGAGACGUGCCGGAGUAUUGUAAAACGCAGAGUACUCCCAUAUCAACAAAAUAUUUUGAAGAAUCGGCUCAAACAGAUUCUCGAGUGUCGUGAAAUCGAUCGUCUCGUCCAUCAGUCGCAGCAACCUGCAGUCCAGCGUUUGCAAAAACCACGGUGUUUGUGGCACACGCAGUGGUUGUCAGUGCUCUCCUCCAUGCAACAAGAGGACAAAAAACCCAAACGAAACGGGUUCAGAACAACGGCCGUGGGCCAUGUCGUUCUUCGGGGAGGACUAAGACGACACGAGCGGAGAGCUGUGGUCCGGAGCCGUAUACCGUCGUCAGUCGGCAGACAAAAGCGCCGGUUCCCGCAGAUUUGUUGAUGGAUCAGUUUUGCCGCCUGUCGCCUCGUGGGUGCGCAGAGACGGCAGGACUUUCUGCGAUCCUUGGAGGUAGGUUACUGUGUUGUUCGCUGGAAACCUACCAGGGUUUCAAUGUGGAGAGGAACUUGACGUUAUCUCUGGCCUCUUCUCGCGCCUCUUCAAGUUCCUUUCGGAGCUUGUUGAAGGGCGAGAUGUAGGUGCUUUCAUUUUGUUGCAGGAACUCUUGCACGUGGAGUACUGCCUCGUCUGCCAGCUGCUCACUGACCGAAUCCAGAUUCGCUGCUCGAUUUUCCCAGAACUUUAUUUCCUCGAUGGGUUCCGGAUUCUGGCCUGCAGACACACAGACGACAGCUGGGAAGCUGACGGCCUUGUUGUCACGUCGAGCACUCAGAUCUCAGACUGCCUCCUCACUGACCAGCGACGACGCUCUUCUAGCGGUAGAGUUGCUGGCUAGCGUUGAUGUCGGACCGUGUGACGGGGGCAAGGAGGCGAUUUGAGGGCUCUCACCGUCGUUCAGAGAUUGAGCAGGAUUCUUCUCCAAGACAAGGCGAAUUUGCUUUGUCCACAUGAUCACCGAGUCCUCGUAACGAUGCAACUUUUCUGAAGUCGAACUGUCGCUGGGAAGGUCAUCGGGCGGUGUGGGCAAGAGGGUGCGCCCGCUUAUCACCCCGAGCGUUGCGUGCAGUUUUGCCAGGAAUCUGUUGUACUUUUCAAGUAUGUCUUUCGUUACAAAAUGUGAGAGACCCGCCUGCAGGUCCGCACCACUGCAGAAUCACGGUCUGUUGAGAGAUGCAGUGUCGAGCAGCGGCAUAUAUAGAUAUAUAAACAGUCUCUGUCAUACAGAGGGCCUCACGUCAUUCUGACACUCUUUGAAUAUUGGCUUUAUGGCCGAGGCUUCGAGGCCUUGUAGGCAGGUGAACAGACGAUGUGCGUGUUGCGCGUGUCAAGAGGGGCUGGUGUUACUUUGAGCAUAUUGAGACAUACUCAGAUUGACAGGAACUGCUCACAGCUUCAGAUAGUACGGGUGCCUGAGGGAUCCGUCUUUGCAGAUAUAGGAGAGAUAUGUGCGUUUUCGUCUUUAGGAUUAUCCGCAGGUUCACCUGUCUUCGUGUCGUACGUGUUGCAUGUGUAGCGAUGAGAAACGUGCCGAGGAAACUGACAAGCAAACAGGUGUCCUACUUGAUUAGCGGGGUUUGACAAAGUGCUGAGGUAGACGGCGCUGCACAUCUCAUGGAGCAUCUCCAUGAUUGCAGCAGUGACUUCUAGGCAAAGAAUCGUCGAGUCGACAUUUUCCUGCAGAAUUGGCAACGCAUGGCAGGUGCGGUCAAAACCAAUAGCAUCGCUGUAUCGGUUUUCGUGCGGGAGUGGAAUGGUUCUCGGGCUGUUUCGCGUGUGAAGCGAAGCGUAUAAGCCGCCAUGCUACAGGACUAUGAGUGUCCCUAUCCGCUGUCGAGCACGAAUUAUUGAAUCCUUCGGAUCAUAAAGGGUCUAAAUCUUGCCCAGUGGUCUGCAGCACAAGGCUUCCAUCUUCUGCUUCUGCAUCGACACCUCCUGCCACUGGGAAAGGGGAACCAGCGUAAGCCGAACUCACAGCUGUGAUGACAACGUUUCUCUCAGCCCGCAGCAUUAACAGGUUCUUCUUUUUGGCCAUCUGAGAGGGUUGGGGAACUUCGUGAACCGAGGCAACGACAGUGUCAGGUGUGCUUCCCGACUGAAACAGGACGAAAUGGUUCUCAGCGUCGUCCAAGAAGUUGACCACAGCUUUCCUGUUUUUAGCAACCAAACCACAAGAGGGCCACAGGCGCACUUCGCUUAGUCGGCGCAGAGGGUGAUGAGUUCGAGCUACAUUAGUUUCGCUCGGAGUCAAUAUUCAAUUGCGACGAGUAUAGGGAUAUUUGCGAGUACAUAGUCUCUUUCGCUGGACAACAUCCAAAUGAUUCCACAUUUAAAAGAUUUUUCAUUGAUACUAAAAUUGAGUUCAAAACACGUUGGUCUUGGUGAACUAUCAACACAGGGCAAUUCUUGAUAGUCAUGGAGAACACAAUUGCAUACAGAAGACUUGGAAAACUACAACCGGAAUUGUGUGGCAAAGGAAAGGACGAUCAGAGCUAUGGGCUAUGCGAAGCCGGCCGUGCACAAAAGACGAGUGGGGAGCAUCCUCAGGAUCGAUUCAAGAUUUGAACCUAUGAAAAAUAUGGAAAAACAAAUACCAUCAUCCCUGACAAUUUGUCCAACGGCAUCCGCUGGCUGUCCCCACAAGUGCCGUUGCAGGCGGGAUGAGAAGGUACACUAAGGAUCCUACAGAC
rnacentral:lncRNA from 1 species